AGUGAGUCCCAUGGUAGUGGGUUAUCAGAACUUAUUCACACUCAUGUCACUGAAGUUGGCACGCAAUCCCCCAUUGCUAAAUUUGACUGGCUAAAA
rnacentral:Y_RNA from 1 species